GAUGAACGCUGGCGGCGUGCCUAAUACAUGCAAGUCGAGCGAACGGACGAGAAGCUUGCUUCUCUGAUGUUAGCGGCGGACGGGUGAGUAACACGUGGAUAACCUACCUAUAAGACUGGGAUAACUUCGGGAAACCGGAGCUAAUACCGGAUAAUAUUUUGAACCGCAUGGUUCAAAAGUGAAAGACGGUCUUGCUGUCACUUAUAGAUGGAUCCGCGCUGCAUUAGCUAGUUGGUAAGGUAACGGCUUACCAAGGCAACGAUGCAUAGCCGACCUGAGAGGGGGAUAGGCCACACUGGAACUGAGACACGGUCCAGACUCCUACGGGAGGCAGCAGUCGGGAAUCUUCCGCAAUGGGCGAAAGCCUGACGGAGCAACGCCGCGUGAGUGAUGAAGGUCUUCGGAUCGUAAAACUCUGUUAUUAGGGAAGAACAUAUGUGUAAGUAACUGUGCACAUCUUGACGGUACCUAAUCAGAAAGCCACGGCUAACUACGUG
rnacentral:rRNA from 1 species